AGAAGAUGGUGGUUUGCUCUUUCGCUCACUGACUUCGUGAUUCUGUUUUCCAGGGUUACAUUUGGAGAGAGUUGAGAGCAGUGAAUCCCAGCAAAAUUCAUUUGUUACUCCAGUUCCACACAUUGAAACCAGGAGUCUACUCCAGAAUGUCUCGUUACCAGUCCUCGAUCAACUCCCACAUCGGCUCAGGCUCUGUCCAAUUCAGGGGACAACCCUGAACAGGAUUCGAUCCUGACAGCAGCUACACCUAUGGUCUGCCAGAUCCCCCAACAAGUACUACAAAACCAAGUACUAACCAAAAAGUAAUGAGCAAGUAAGUAAGUUCACCUCCAUCAUCCCCUAGAUCUGCUUCAUCAGCAUUGAUCAUGUCGUUGUAUUUACUCUUGAAGAAUCCAGCCUGAGAGUAGAAAACAAUGAAAUACAUUUAAAUAACAUGCAUAAUUAAUAAAAGAACCACACUGCAUCAGUGAAUGUGGUAAAAAAUAA